rnacentral:rRNA from 1 species
AACUCUGAGCGGUGGAUCACUCGGCUCGUGCGUCGAUGAAGAGAGCGCAGCCAACUGCGUGAAUUAGUGUGAAUUGCAGGAUAUCUUGAACAUCGACAUCUUGAACGCAUAUUGCGGCCUCAGGUCUCCCCUGUGGCCACGCCUGGCCGAGGGUCG